rnacentral:rRNA from 1 species
UACGAAGGGGCCUAGCGUUGUUCGGAAUUACUGGGCGUAAAGCGCGCGUAGGCGGAUCGCUAAGUCAGGGGUGAAAUCCCAGGGCUCAACCCUGGAACUGCCUUUGAUACUGACGAUCUGGAGAUCGGGAGAGGUUGGUGGAAUUCCGAGUGUAGAGGUGAAAUUCGUAGAUAUUCGGAGGAACACCAGAAGCGAAGGCGGCCAACUGGCCCGAUACUGACGCUGAGGCGCGAAAGCGUGGGGAGCAAACAGG